AGAAAGUGCGCGACAGAGACCAUCCUCCUUGGUAUGGCAGGGCCCUUACCCUCCCCAUACCCCCAGAAGGCAAAUGUCCCCAUCUCGAGAGAGGGGGCUUUCGACAGCCAUCUGCUUCCACAGCUCCACCUCCACACAAAGUGAGGCUUGACCAGCCUUGUGGGGUCAUUUGGGUGGAUGGAGCCAAGGAUGCGGAGCCCACAGACCCCACGCUGCUGGGAAGGCACCGACCCCUGACCCUGUGAGUCACCCUAGCUUGGCUGACCCUGGCUUGGCCUUGGCAGGGCUGCAUGCCACCUCAGCUCCCACCCAGAGCUUUCCCAGGCUGGAUAAACCAGGGCAGAGAGGGGAGAAAAGCGUCCUCAGCCUGGGAACCACUGGGGCUCCGGUCGCCCAGGGCAGCUGUCAGCUGGCCAGGCCCUGCCCUUCUUAGGACCCACGUCAGCUGCCCCCUGGCUUGUCGGGUCCGCUGCCACCCAGAGCCCCUUUGGAUAAGAAGCCCUUUCACACCUGUCCAGGGGCCACGACAGCAAAGGGUAUAUACUUGAAGAAAUUGAAAACAGGUACUCAAACCAAUGGAUUUCCCAGGUGGCUCCGUGGUAAGGAAUCUGCCUGCCAGUGCAGUGGAAUUCCAUCCUGGGUCAGGAAGAUCCCCUGGAAGAGGAAAUGACAAUCCACUCCAGUAUUCUUCUCUGGAGAAUCCCACGGACAGGGCAGCCUGGAGGGCUGCAGUCCACGGGAUUACACAGUCAGACACAACUGAGCACGAACAACUCAGUCCACUAUUCAAACAAACACAUGCGUGCGUGUGCAUUAAGUUGCUUCAGUCGUGUCCAACUCUGCAACCCUAUGGACUGUAGCCUGCCAGGCUCCUCUAUGGAAUUCUCCAGGCCAAAAUACUGGAGUGGGUUGCCAAGCCCUCCUCCAGGGGGUCUUCCUGACCCGGGGAUUAAAACUGUGUCUCUUACAUCUCCUGCAUUGGCAGAUGCCCUAUCUCCGGCCAGUUACCAAGACAUGCCAACCACACCUGCUCCCACUCAUCCCUUCCCUUGCCCACCAGUGUCUCGGAGAGUCUACAGCAAUGAAACCCACCCAGAAGUCCUGCUCCAAUUGGUUUUCAUGACCAUGUGAUUGACCCUGAAUUGAAACACGAUAAUGGAAUGCUUCUAAAUACACAUUCUUCUUGGAAAAUGUAUGAAGUUUUUUUCUUAAUUUUUUUAAUGGAAUCAGAGGACUUGGUUCUUGGACAGACUGUUGGUGUGAG
ensembl:lncRNA